GGAGAUUUCCCCCUUUGUGUUACUUUCCCGCGGUUGUAUUCUCUAUCCUUGCAAAAAUUUGCGAGUGUGAGUGAAGUGGUGGAGACAAUGGAGGGUGAGGGUCGAAGGGGAAAUUUGAUUUGGAGACGACCUUUCUUUCAAUGGGAGGAGGAAAGUGUGGAGCUUCUUAGGGUCACAAUUGAUAAUUUGACUCUUUCCCAUGAGGAGGAUAAGUGGUGUUGGUCCUUUAAUCCGGAAGGGUGU
rnacentral:lncRNA from 1 species